AUGGAAGACCGAGAUAUAAAUCAUAGCUGCUGGUUACGGGAAGCGAAGCCCAGCAGCAGUCUUCAAGCGCAGGCCCAGAGGCCGCCCCGAGGAGCCGUGCCCGUGCUAACUGCCUCCCCUUCCUGCCUCUGCCUGGUAGCGCCCCGCUGCCCUGCGGGUGCCGACGGCAAGAGCCGAGUGUUUACAGGGUGGCUGCCAGGGUCGGCUAGAYGCUGGGUUCUUGUUUUUAAUGACAUGGGCAAAGUAAGGGAUAAGGGAUUUCUUCCGGGCUCGCGACUCGCACUCGGGACUUCGCGAGAGCCCUUUCUGCGGGGCAGCUGUGCUCGUCCUCCGCGCGCCCCGGCCGCGUGCCGUCGUUGCGGCGUCCCCGGGCAGGUUCAGCCACGCGGUCCCGCCGCAGCACAACCUGGGCUGGCGAGCGGCCGACCCUGGCGGCCGUGGCGCACCCCCGACUUGGGCAGCCCAACCAAACCUCCCGAAACGCGCCGUCCGUCACCCUCGAGCGGUGUGGCAGGACCUUCCCCAGGCCUCUCGGCCGAGCGCCUUCUUCACAGCCCUCACCAGGGCGAUUUGCCCUCCCCCCCAGGGCAGCGUGUCCCUCCCAGCUCUUCUGGCCACCUCGGCUCAUGGGACCCCUCGGCCUUCGCGGCCUGGCCCUGCCGUCCCCGCRGCGUAGCCCCGGCCGGCGGCUCAGAGGACGUGGGUGCCCCCAGGCCGCGGCGCCAUGCAGCCGCCCUGGCUCCGGCAGCCCCGGCAGCUCGGCCCCUCUCGUCGUGGGGGCCCCAGGGCGACCGGGGCCGCCCGCAGCAGAUUACAGGCGUCCCCUUAGGCUUGUGUUGGCUCGGACUUGCCCUGUCUUCUCCCACUAACCGCUGGGAAGGGAAGACUGGGAGUGCAGCCGGCAUUGCCACAGCGCCUGCAGUUUUCCCGGGGCGCCUGACUGCAAGCCAAGGUCUUUCACCUGCAGAAAAAACCCGAGACGAGGGAAAUCUCACAUUCCCAGCUGCCUGUUCUUUCAAGCAGCUCCUUGAGUGCCUGAGUUUAAAAGGAAAAUUAGCAAAAAGGAAAAUCAGCAAAGCAAAGGCAGCGGGCUCCCGCGCUGCGCUUCGCGUGUGGCUCCGGCCGCCGAGGCCGUCCGCGGCGCACCGGGUCUCUGCGGCCGCCCGCAGCCCUUCCAACUGCGCAGCAUGGUGCGGAGGGCACAGGGAGAGCCACCCGCCUCUUCCAAAUUGUUUUGMCCUUAAUAGAUAG
rnacentral:lncRNA from 1 species